GACGAACGCUGGCGGCGUGCUUAACACAUGCAAGUCGAACGGAAAGGCCCUGCUUUUGUGGGGUGCUCGAGUGGCGAACGGGUGAGUAACACGUGAGUAACCUGCCCUUGACUUUGGGAUAACUUCAGGAAACUGGGGCUAAUACCGGAUAGGAGCUCCUGCUGCAUGGUGGGGGUUGGAAAGUUUCGGCGGUUGGGGAUGGACUCGCGGCUUAUCAGCUUGUUGGUGGGGUAGUGGCUUACCAAGGCUUUGACGGGUAGCCGGCAUGAGAGGGUGACCGGCCACAUUGGGACUGAGAUACGGCCCAGACCCCUACGGGAGGCAGCAGUGGGGAAUAUUGCACAAUGGGCGGAAGCCUGAUGCAGCAACGCCGCGUGCGGGAUGACGGCCUUCGGGUUGUAAACCGCUUUCGCCUGUGACGAAGCGUGAGUGACGGUAAUGGGUAAAGAAGCACCGGCUAACUACGUG
rnacentral:rRNA from 1 species